AGAAUCAACGCUGGCGGCGUGCCUAACACAUGCAAGUCGAACGCGAAAGUCCCGCAAGGGAUGAGUAGAGUGGCAAACGGGUGAGUAACACGUGGGUGACCUGCCUUCGAGCGGGGGAUAACGUCCCGAAAGGGACGCUAAUACCGCAUGACAUCCUGCCUUUGAAGAGGUGGAGAUCAAAGCUGGGGAUCGCAAGACCUAGCACUCGAAGAGGGGCCCGCGCCUGAUUAGCUAGUUGGUGGGGUAAUGGCUCACCAAGGCGACGAUCAGUA
rnacentral:rRNA from 1 species